CGCGGCCUAUCAGCUUGUUGGUGAGGUUACGGCUCACCAAGGCGACGACGGGUAGCCGGCCUGAGAGGGUGACCGGCCACACUGGGACUGAGAUACGGCCCAGACUCCUACGGGAGGCAGCAGUGGGGAAUAUUGCACAAUGGGCGCAAGCCUGAUGCAGCGACGCCGCGUGAGGGAUGACGGCCUUCGGGUUGUAAACCUCUUUCGCCAGGGACGAAGCGCAAGUGACGGUACCUGGAGAAGAAGGACCGGCCAACUACGUGCCAGCAGCCGCGGUAAUACGUAGGGUCCGAGCGUUGUCCGGAAUUACUGGGCGUAAAGAGCUCGUAGGUGGUUUGUCGCGUUGUUCGUGAAAACUCACAGCUCAACUGUGGGCGUGCGGGCGAUACGGGCAGACUAGAGUACUGCAGGGGAGACUGGAAUUCCUGGUGUAGCGGUGGAAUGCGCAGAUAUCAGGAGGAACACCGGUGGCGAAGGCGGGUCUCUGGGCAGUAACUGACGCUGAGGAGCGAAAGCGUGGGGAGCGAACAGGAUUAGAUACCCUGGUAGUCCACGCCGUAAACGGUGGGUACUAGGUGUGGGUUUCCUUCCUUGGGAUCCGUGCCGUAGCUAACGCAUUAAGUACCCCGCCUGGGGAGUACGG
rnacentral:rRNA from 1 species